CUAUCUAGAAACCCUUCUCCUAAUUUCCCUCUCUCCUCUGAAAACGACGAAUGAUUCACCUUCCUCUUUGAACAAAAUCACAGACUUCUUCCCCCAAAAUCGGAUAUGUGCGCCUCCAUUUUUGUAUAUCUUUUAAACGCUCCUAUCUCUCUCAUCUUCAUAAUGUUUCAUUCAAACAAGAAAGAUUCAGAACGGGCCAAAAAUGCUCUUCAGAAAAUCUGAUCUUUCCGUACCCGAAGAAUCACGUGAAGAUCCAGGCCCUCCAAUAUUUGAAUGUCAAACGGGCAUUUUUGACUCGAUUCAAGCCUCAAGUUCUCACUCAAAACUCUGCCUAAGAACCCUAAUUUUAUACCUAUAAAUACCAGACUUUGUGGCUAUUUUCAGCACCUUUGGAUCCGCCGCUUUUAUACUCUUUUUCACGCCAUUCUUAUCUCAUUUUUUACUCAUUAGAACCACACUCUAAGGGUUCGUUUUGUUCAGCCUCUAUUGGUUUUGUCUAACCAUAACAGAGGCGUCGUCGUGCUCGUUUCGGGUUUUGACGGUCAUCCGAGAUUGCGGAGUAGAGGCCGGAGAGAGCAGACCUUGACGCGACCCCAGUUCCUGCACCACAAAAGCAAAAUGGAGUCUCACUCUAGACUCUACACUACCCAAGCAUGGAGUCAUCACAUCCUAUACUAUCCUCCUUAGAAUGCACCCGACAACAAGAAAACAAGCGAAAUGCUUGGGGGCGCUUAUGGCGUCUUUCUUUUUCUUUUUCUUUUUCUUUUCUCUUCUCAUUUGUUUUAUUUAACUUCUAUAUGAUUGUUAGAUUUAUUUGCAUGUUUGGGCUAUAUCUUACAUGGGAUUUGGUAGCUAAAUCUUAUUUAGUGGCAUUUAAUCUAGUUAACAACAAAUUAUCGAAUCUAUUUUACAUCGAUCUUAAGAGCUUUUUAAAAUCAA